UGAAUGAUGAUUUCAGGGUAAUUGGGC
rnacentral:sRNA from 1 species